GGGCUUUAGUCAUUGUUAGAUCCCUGCAAACUGAGCCUCUCGUACAAAGAUAAUCAGUACUGCAUUCUUCAUCUGAUACUGAACUUUAAAAAGCCAUGCUCUAAUUUAAGGAGUUAUUCCAUGAAAGAAGUAAGUCAUCGAACAAGCAAUAGGUUAUUUUUUCAUAUCAGGGGGCCAAAUCUCCUGGUAGAUGCUCCAACUCUCAGCCCAGAUGAUGCUUCAAGUUAAUCCACUGGAAGAUUGUGGAAAUUACCUCUAGCAGCUGUUCUCAAGGAGAAGGUUUAUGUCAGCACCACUUACAUCAGUUGAGCUCAGAACUUUUGUGUCAGCAGCAUAAAUGCUGGCAUGUCAGCAUCUCUAUUUUAUACUCCCCAAAAUGUGUAUAGUUUAAUUAGACCAAAGACAGGAAACGGUUUGUUGAGAGCUCAACCUGGAUGUAAUGUCUUCCUAAGGAGACAUUCCCAUCCCACCUGGGGGACCAUCGAAUUUGUCAGUAAAAAGCCAAACCCUCAUGACUUGCCCUUUACAGGAAACUGUUCUCAGAAAGGAAAAACUUUACCCCUGAAUCCAGUGGAGUAUUUAUGGUGAGUUGGGAUAAUUUGUCUAGACACCCCCAGACAUCUGUUCUCUGCUAUCACCAACUUCAGCCCUGCACUCUGAAUUCUUCCUUCGGCAGGUGGAUCUUGUUUCCAGGUUCAAUUUAAAUGUGAAAAAGGCUUCUGUGGAGAGAACCAGCAGAUCAAUCCACAGACCAGCCCUCCAGCCCACUGUCAUGCUGGAACAGGCAGGCCCUUCCAAGGAGUACAAAUUGCUGUACUGUUGUCACUACAGAGCCACUCUGCUAGAUUUCUGAGGAAUUAUAAAGGACACACAAAAAACCUCUAAGGAUGAAAGAAGUGAAAUGCUGUCCCUAUCCCAGGAAAUUAGAGACAGCUGGACUUCUGUGCGUACCAGAGUGAAUGAUCAAACAAGCCAUUACAAUACUGUACAUGUAGCUGUGAACAUAACUUCUUGGAGAAGAUGAUACUAACUAGGGUUAUGCAGGGGUGCUUUUUUAAUGACAUGAACAAAGCAGUUUUAAUACCAAUAAAGUUUCUGGGUCCACUGUGUUGAGCAAGCAACAUGGAACUGUGGAUCUAGCCUUGGCCCUUCCACGGACAGCCCAUGACACUCUGAGUAAGUCAUCCAUCCUUUUAUUUCUUGGAUUCUCCUCCAGCAAAAUCAGAUAAUACUUCCUACUUGUCAAUACACCCUGUAGAGCCCUUGAGAAGCUUAGCACUGGGAUCCAAAAUCCCAAGGAUAUUCGUAUUUCUCAUGGAUGCCGCCUGGGGUGUCUGCCUAGCUCACAAGAUCCCCAAACUAGCCGCUGUGAUGCAGGAAGUUUGUCAUAGAAAAUGGUCAUUUCUGGACUGCAGGAGGCUAAGUGCUUGUCCACAGCUGAUCAGUACAGGCAUAGACAGGUCAUUCAAACUGGGCUGACUAAAUUCUUCUCCCAGGACACCACAUGGAAAGACGGAAAGGCACACAAAGAUUGGAAACUGUCCAUCUAGAGAGUCGUAAGACGUUUUUUUAAAACUCUCAGCUUGGGCUUCCCUGGUGGCGCAGUGGUUGAGAAUCUGCUUGCCAAGGCAGGGGACACGGGUUCGAGCCCUGGUCUGGGAAGAUCCCACAGGCCGCGGAGCAACUGGGCCCGUAAGCCACAACUACUGAGCCUGCGCGUCUGGAGCCUGUGCUCCGCAACAAGAGAGGCCGCGAAAGUGAGAGGCCCGCACACCGCGAUGAAGAGUGGCCCCUGCUCGCCGCAACUAGAGAAAGCCCUCGCACAGAAACGAAGACCCAACACAGUCAUAAAUAAAAUUAAUUAAUUAAUUAAUUUAAAAAAAAAAACCUCUCAGCUCCUCCCCACACACAUUGGAGGGGAUUCCUCACCGAGCCUACAACCAUCACAGCCGGGGCCUGCUGUGGACCACAGGGACCCAUCCCACCCCCAUCCCUUUGGGGUGCUCCAUUCUACAGCCCUCCACCCCACUGAUGGUCGAUCACAUGCCCCCAAGACUCAUGCCUCUGGGUAACCCAGGAGCCCCAUGGCUGGACCCUGGUUCUGGAAGUUGGGCUGGUGUGGGAAUUACUCUUGCUGGCCGGCACAGCAUCUCUUUUGUGGGACUGUAAGAGACUGGGCUGCCGGGAUGGUGCUCACACACUGAUUUGGGAGCCCUACACACGCUAUCUGUCCCUGUCAGAGAGCAUCACUAGUGGUAAGAAUAAAGUUUGUUUUGUGAGA